UGUUCUGCUAUUUUUAUUGGACAUAUUUUUUGGUCGGUGGAGAGAUUUCUCUCGUUUCUUCGGUAUUGUCGACAUUGAUUUUUUUUUGUUCUCUCCCAACUGCGAAACGGCGAUUUUCUUCCCUUCUUCUCGUGCCGAUCUCAUCUCCGCUGUCUCCUUGUCGAAGCCCAGUGAUUCCUCUGUCUCAUCGGCGAUCUCUCCGUCUACUCUGUCUCCGUCGUAUCGCCAAGCUCUCUCUCUCUCCACUGUCUCCGGUGUCUUGCGAAGCUCCUCAGCUCCUCUGGAAGAGAUCUCCUCGUCUCCUCUGUCUCGGCUGGCUCGCAAAUCUCAUCUCCGGUGAACAAAGGCGAAGCUAUCAGAAAAUGGAGAUAUGCAGAGAAUUAGAGACAAAUGGUUGCUGAGGAAAGCUUGCUCUCUGCAAGGCGCAGAGUUAAAAGUACAUAGGCUGGAGCUUAGUAGCUUUUGGGGAUUGUUUGUGAUGUGUGGAGGGACAUGCGUUCUUGCUGUUGCAGUGUAUACAGUAUUGAUGAUACGUCAACGUCCUGAAGAAGCAGAGCCGCAGAGGGGUUGACCGCUAGAAGAAGCAUCCACUCCUUUCUCUCCUUUGUCAUUUAGGGAGACGCCAAGGCUAUGUCAUUUAGGGAGAGGCAGCCUGAAGAUAUCUUUGUCAGUGGUCCGAGUGGCUGCAACUAAAGUGUUUCCAGCUCUAGUACGUAACUAUAUGAUAACCUCUUUGUUGAUAAAACUUGAAUCAAAAUUCAAAACUGUUUGUUAAUAAUAAUCAUCAUGUCAAUUAGUGGAUGAUUAUGAUGUGUUCUAUUAUCUUUACACUCUACUAGUCUUCUUUACCCUUAAUUGUAAAAGUUUGAUACAA